rnacentral:rRNA from 1 species
AUUGAACGCUGGCGGCAGGCCUAACACAUGCAAGUCGAGCGCGAGGCGGACGGGUGAGUAAUGUCUGGGAAACUGCCUGAUGGAGGGGGAUAACUACUGGAAACGGUCGCUAAUACCGCAUACCCUCUGAUGUGUCCAGAUGGGGUUAGCUAGUAGGUGGGGUAACGGCUAACCUCGGCGACGAUCCGUAGCUGGUCUGAGAGGAUGAUCCGCCACACUGGAACUGAGACACGGUCCAGACUCCUACGGGAGGCAGCAGUGGGGAAUAUUGCACAAUGGGCGCAAGCCUGAUGCAGCCAUGCCGCGUGUGUGAAGAAGGCCUUCGGGUUGUAAAGCACUUUCAGCGGGGAGGCGUUACCCGCAGAAGAAGCACCGGCUAACUCCGUGCCAGCAGCCGCGGUAAUUC